GACGAACGCUGGCGGCGUGCUUAACACAUGCAAGUCGAACGGAAAGGCCCUGCUUUUGUGGGGUGCUCGAGUGGCGAACGGGUGAGUAACACGUGAGUAACCUGCCCUUGACUUUGGGAUAACUUCAGGAAACUGGGGCUAAUACCGGAUAGGAGCUCCUGCUGCAUGGUGGGGGUUGGAAAGUUUCGGCGGUUGGGGAUGGACUCGCGGCUUAUCAGCUUGUUGGUGGGGUAGUGGCUUACCAAGGCUUUGACGGGUAGCCGGCCUGAGAGGGUGACCGGCCACAUUGGGACUGGGGUACGGCCCAGACUCCUACGGGGGGGAAGAGGGGGGAAUAUUUGCCCAAGGGGCGAAGGCUGAAUGAAGCACGGCGCGUGCGGGAUGACGGCCUUCGGGUUGUAAACCGCUUUCGCCUGUGACGAAGCGUGAGUGACGGUAAUGGGUAAAGAAGCACCGGCUAACUACGUG
rnacentral:rRNA from 1 species